rnacentral:rRNA from 1 species
AGAGUUUGAUCCUGGCUCAGAACGAACGCUGGCGGCGUGGAUAAGACAUGCAAGUCGAACGGGCCUUGUAGCAAUAUGAGGUCAGUGGCGUAAGGGUGCGUAACACGUAGGUUACCUGCCCGGAAGUGGGGGAUAGCUCGCCGAAAGGCGAAUUAAUACCGCAUGUGGCAUUUGCCAAAGCCGGGGAAACCUGGCGCUUCCGGAUGGGCCUGCGGCCUAUCAGCUAGUUGGAGGGGUAACGGCCCACCAAGGCUAGGACGGGUAGCUGGUCUGAGAGGACGACCAGCCACACUGGAACUGAGACACGGUCCAGACACCUACGGGUGGCAGCAGUCGAGAAUUUUUCUCAAUGGGGGAAACCCUGAAGGAGCGACGCCGCGUGGAGGAUGAAGGUCUUCGGAUUGUAAACUCCUGUCAUUGGUGAACAAAAUACGUGGUCUAACUAAUCAUGUGUCGAUAGUAGCCGAAGAGGAAGGGACGGCAAACUCUGUGCCAGCCGCCGCGGUAAUUC